UGAGGAAUAUUGCGCAAUGGACGAAAGUCUGACGCAGCAACGCCGCGUGCAGGAUGACGGCCCUCAGGGUUGUAAACUGCUGUAGCAGGGGAAUAACACCCGCCUUUCGGGGCGGGUUGAAGGUACCCUGAAAGUAAGCUCCGGCUAACUACGUGCCAGCAGCCGCGGUAAUACGUAGGGAGCAAGCGUUGUCCGGAUUCACUGGGUGUAAAGGGUGCGCAGGCGGACUGGCAAGUCAGAGGUGAAAUCUUACGGCUCAACCGUGAAAUUGCCUUUGAAACUGCUGGUCUUGAGUUCGGGAGAGGUCGAUGGAAUUCCAGGUGUAGCGGUGAAAUGCUUAGAUAUCUGGAAGAACACCAGUAGCGAAGGCGGUCGACUGGCCCGUAACUGACGCUCAGGCACGAAAGCGUGGGGAGCAAACAGGAUUAGAUACCCCCGUAGUCC
rnacentral:rRNA from 1 species